UAACCUGCCCAAGAGAUCGGGAUAACACCUGGAAACAGAUGCUAAUACCGGAUAACAACAGAUGAUGCCUAUCAACUGUUUAAAAGAUGGUUCUGCUAUCACUCUUGGAUGGACCUGCGGUGCAUUAGCUAGUUGGUAGGGUAACGGCCUACCAAGGCGAUGAUGCAUAGCCGAGUUGAGAGACUGAUCGGCCACAUUGGGACUGAGACACGGCCCAAACUCCUCGGGGCAGCAGAG
rnacentral:rRNA from 1 species